GGUUAUCGCAGUUUGUCAUUGUUUUGUUUUUAUGAUCAUUCGAUUCCACGCAGGAUUUAAGAACUUGAUCCGAAACAUUUUUUUAAUGUUGAGUUGCGAUAGCAGCAGCAGAUAUGUAGCUGCAAGAGUGAACCUCCAACCAAGAGUGGCCUCCUCGAGGUAAAGAAUCACGCCAUGACCGUUUCCGCAAAAUGUUUGGUGCAAAGGUAGCACUGGCGCACUUUCAUCACCAUGUUGUGGGCACUCCUUGAAUUAAAUCGGCUGUUUAGGAUGGAAAACCUCGAGCGAUUGGCUGCAUGGAAACAAAAUAAAUUGGCGGCGGUAGAUAAUGGCCAAAGAUGCUCCCCUAUUGCUGAAUUAUCAUGUUUUUCGUUCAGAGGCAUCCGCAUUCCAGCAUCAGGAAGAAUCGCAGUGCUGACUUCAGCGCAGAGAAAACGGCAAACAGGUGUUUGGAUGCUCACAACGGCAAUAGUUUUUGUUUGAAAAGUCAAUAGU